rnacentral:misc_RNA from 1 species
UCCGACUUAGAGCCGGCAGUCUCAUAUGAGAAAUACAACAUAUGACAUGGGUUGCGCUCGUUUACGGACUUAACCGAACACCUCAAGGCACGAGCUGACGACGACCAUGCAGCACCUGUCAUCCGGUUCCUUACGGCACCCCUAAAUUUCUUCAGGGUUCCGGAGAUGUCAAGCCUGGGUAAGGUUUCUCGUUUAUUAUCGAAUUAAACCACAUGCUCCACCGCUUGUGUGGGUCCCCGUCUAUUCCUUUGAGUUUUAAUCUUGCGACCGUACUCCCCAGGCGGAGUGCUUAACGUGUUAACUUAGCCACAGAAGGGGGUCGAGUCCCUCCUACAGCGAGCACUCAUCGUUUACGGCGUGGACUAC